rnacentral:rRNA from 1 species
GAUGAACGCUGGCGGCGUGCCUAAUACAUGCAAGUCGAGCGAACAGACGAGGAGCUUGCUCCUCUGACGUUAGCGGCGGACGGGUGAGUAACACGUGGAUAACCUACCUAUAAGACUGGGAUAACUUCGGGAAACCGGAGCUAAUACCGGAUAAUAUAUUGAACCGCAUGGUUCAAUAGUGAAAGACGGUUUUGCUGUCACUUAUAGAUGGAUCCGCGCCGCAUUAGCUAGUUGGUAAGGUAACGGCUUACCAAGGCAACGAUGCGUAGCCGACCUGAGAGGGUGAUCGGCCACACUGGAACUGAGACACGGUCCAGACUCCUACGGGAGGCAGCAGUAGGGAAUCUUCCGCAAUGGGCGAAAGCUUGACGGAGCAACGCCGCGUGAGUGAUGAAGGUCUUCGGAUCGUAAAACUCUGUUAUUAGGGAUGAACAAAUGUGUAAGUAACUAUGCACGUCUUGACGGUACCUAAUCAGAAAGCCACGGCUAACUACGUG